UACGGGGGGAGCAAGCGUUGUUCGGAUUUACUGGCGUAAAGGGCGCGUAGGCGGCCAGCACAAGUCAGUUGUGAAAUCUCCGGGCUUAACUCGGAAAGGUCAACUGAUACUGUGCGGCUAGAGUGCGGAAGGGGCAACUGGAAUUCUCGGUGUAGCGGUGAAAUGCGUAGAUAUCGAGAGGAACACCUGCGGCGAAGGCGGGUUGCUGGGCCGACACGUGACGCUGAUGCGCGAAAGCCAGGGAGGCGAACGGG
rnacentral:rRNA from 1 species